rnacentral:tRNA from 1 species
GUGCAUUUUGCGGUUCAUAGGGCGCCAGCCUUCUAAGUUGGAGUUCGUGAGUUCGAAUCUCACCGGGCCCGCCA